UUUGUAAGCUGUCUGCCUCACAUUGUGAACCACAGUAAUGUGAAUAGCCCACCACAACAUUGGGACUGGUUUGCAUUAGUCAGGCUUUUACAUUAAUAUAUACAGUCCCCCUACAAUUAUACAUUUUAAAGAGGCAGAUAUGAAAGCACCUCGUGUGCCUGUCGAUAAUUGUUGCCCCCCUCACGUCAUCACGUCUGAAGUUCACCUUCAGGACAUCGACGUAAUGCGCAUUCCAGUUAACAAAACAGACGGCCGUAGUGCAUUUUCCACUUACCUUCGACGCUAAAAUAAGAGAUGUUCAAAACUCAAAACUCGAAGGUCCGAGCUGGAAACUUAAACAGUUUGUUUUUUAACAAAGUCGUUGACCAGGAAGCAUUUUGUAGCCGAUGUCUGGAUGAGUUUGUACCCCUCCUCUCUCUCACAUCUGGUCCCCAAACUGCACGCCAAAGAUCUUUGGUUGCUCAGUUGAGAGCUGGUAUUCUUCUUCUGGCCAUUGAGGUUGGUUGAUUCAAAAAUAUUCCAGAGGAAAACAGACUGGGUGAGCUGUGAUUCUGGCGAAGCGGAAAGAUCUUGCUGGAAACUGCUGUAUGAUGGAGCGCUGUGGGCCUGGGAUUGGUGAGGCAGGGCUGCACCAGGCCUGUGCUGACGUUCUGUGUUUACAGGUCCUGGCAGUACCGCUGGAGGAACCAGUGCAGAGCCGGACUCCCUCUCUUCUAUCGGUGACCCAGUUCCCACACUGACCAUGAACAAUACUCCUUGGGAGGAUCCAACAGAUGCACCGCAACAUGUGUUGACAGGAAGGGAUGGCAGAGGUUCAACAAGAGGGAGACCGGGGGUGGGGGGGGGGUUCUGUGUCCAGACUCUUGACAAUCACGUCUAAAACCCCCAAUGGGCAGCAUUCAGGUCCAUCAUCGUUAAAUAACACAGGCAGAUGACAAGAUCAGUAAAUUUGGUGAAGCUUUUUAGCCGUCUCUUGAGAUGUGCUGUUUUUUUUCAUACUGACACAGCAGGGGUUUUGGACCGUCUGAAAGGGAGAGUCCUAAAUAAACUCUGUGAGCUUACACAACA